UGUAAGUAUUCUCUAGCUCCUUCACUUGCCUUUUGCAAGACUCCCCCGCCUUCUGCAUAGGGAAGUUUACUUCAUCUUAUACUUACCUUUUGUAAGAACUCUCCGCCUUUUGUGUGAGGAAGGUCCUUUAUUUCCUUUUGCAUGAGGGAUUGCAUUUGUUCCUCGUUUUCCUUUCAUAAAUCUUCCUAGCCUUUUGCUAAGGAAUUC
rnacentral:lncRNA from 1 species